ensembl:snoRNA LOC120099074 small nucleolar RNA SNORA51
GACCUCCUCAUGCUCAACGACAGGUUGUAUUCCUAUUCUGUGCGUACAGAAAGAGGAGGCAGAGUAAACCUACCCCAUGCACAUCUCAGCCCAGGCUACUGUACCUGGUACGUCUUGUGAGAGGGGAGAGCUGG